GUUCUGUUGAAGGGCUGUCAGUUAGAGAAGCAAAGAUCUGACUGCAUCAUAAUUCCACCCAGCACUUCUACAGGUCUUUCCACCUUCAACGUACAAAGCAGGGAAUGUUUUAGGCACCAAUGGGAAAACUAGAAUACUGGAAAAGCCUGAUUUCCACACAGUGCCAAUUUGGAGCUGCAGGCAGAGGACUAUGAGAUCAGAAGUAACUCAGCCAGACAUCACUCACUCCCUCCAGUAGAAACUGCAGGGAUGGUUCAACCCUCACGUUCAUAAGAGACAACCUGUCACCUGCAUCCCAGCGGGGCCUAAUCCUCAAAAAGGGGAGGAUGAUAUAAGAAUGAGGGACCAUGGCGUCCAAUUCACCUCUCCUCCUCCCAUCUCUUUGCUCAUGACAUUAAUGACUCUCAAAGAACUGAACUAAGGGGAAGGGGUCCCAAGUUGA